rnacentral:rRNA from 1 species
CCUACGGGAGGCUGCAGUCGAGAAUUUUUGGCAAUGGGCGAAAGCCUGACCAAGCGAUGCCGCGUGCGGGAUGAAGGCCUUCGGGUUGUAAACCGCUGUCAGUGGGGAGGAAAGCUUUGCGAAGAGCAAGGCUUGACCUAUCCGCAGAGGAAGUGUGGGCUAAGUUCGUGCCAGCAGCCGCGGUAAGACGAACCACACAAACGUUAUUCGGAAUUACUGGGCUUAAAGGGUGCGUAGGCUGCGCAGUAAGUUGGGUGUGAAAUACCUCGGCUCAACCGAGGAACUGCGCCCAAAACUACUGUGCUUGAGGAAGAUAGAGGUAAGCGGAACUUACGGUGGAGCGGUGAAAUGCGUUGAUAUCGUAAGGAACACCUGUGGCGAAAGCGGCUUACUGGGUCUUUUCUGACGCUGAUGCACGAAAGCUAGGGGAGCAAACGGGAUUAGAUACCCUAGUAGUC